CUCAUUGGUCACAUUGUUCAUUUCAAAAUCAUCCCUCCCUCUUCUUCCUCCUCACUUUAGUUUUCCCUCUCUCGUCUUCUCUUCUCUCUCUUCUUCUUGACACAACCUUUCACUUCUCUCCCCCUCUCCAUUCAGCUCAUCUCUCUCAUCCGUUUCUUCCAUCUUCAUAGCCCUGUUCAGAUCAGUAAAGUCCAAUUUCAUUUUUCUUCCAUGAUUUCUCACCUUCUUUGGUCGCAAACGAAGAGUUCCAACACAUUCUUCGUGUGUUGAACACCAAUGUUCAUGGAAAGCAGAAGAUCAUGUUUGCUCUUACCUCAACCAAAGGUAUUGGGAGAAGAUUCGCUAACAUUUGUUGCAAGAAAGCUGAUGUAGACAUGAACAAGAGAGAAACAUGGGUUGAUGAUGGUUUGUAGGAUGAAACCGGACCAUUCAAGCCUUUUUUCGCACAGAUACCUUACUCCUUAUAAAGCAUCAAACAGUACUUCACCUUUUUGGUAUUCUAUCAAAAGAGCUUCAGCACACAUCAUUGUCUUGGCCUCAUAUUCAGCAUAUGGUAUUGCUCGAUUUCUAUAAUGCUUCAUACAGACAUGCAUAUGUUAAAAACACUGCUGAUUCUAUGAUUUCCAAUGGAAUGAACAUAUACGCCGCAAUACCAAUGGCUUGAAGAAGAUCUACCAAAAGUUAACAGGAAAGAAACUCCUUGGUUGAUUGUUCUCAUGCAUUCACAUUGGUACAAUAGCAACUCUGUCUUUUGAUAUUCAGAUGUUGAAAUCAAUACCAUGUUUUUAUGCUUGACUAUGAAUUAUCGUCUUCUCUUGCUUUUAUUUAAACAUGUAUUAACAGGUAUGUAAAAUGUAUUUUAAACAUGUCUAUUUCUUUUAUUUAUACCAUGAUCCAGGAAUAACUAUGUAGAAUGUAUUUUAUGUAAAAGAGAUGUCGCCCAGUCGCUGUGGAGUUGUCGUGAAAUAUACGGUGGAGAACAAAACAGAGAUGCGGCCCAGUCAUAAAUUAUGGAGUUAUAUCAGGCUUCUUGGAACAAAGCUGCUAAUUGUGAAGGAAAGAUAGGUGAUGGAAACAUUCCUCUCACUUUAUCACUUGGAUUUUUUACGGUUAGAACCUGACAUCUCACUAUUAUUGAUUGUAUCACCAUAUAAUUGAAUUGUAUGAUUGAUGUUAACAACCAAACACUAUUGUAAUUGGAUCUGAUUUUUCAAUAAUUUCUGCAUUUGGUUUAUUAAUUCUAUUAUCUCUAAUUGUUAUUAUUCAUGCUUUUGAUAUAAGUUGCAGGUUUAAAAUGGAGUAAGCACAUGUUUAGAUUCACUUAUUUGAGUUUAUCUAUUGGUAUAACCACUUACGAGUCUGAUUUGAAGAGUUUAUUGCAAUUUUUGUUAUAGAAAUAGCUUAUACGGGACUUAACCUUGAGUAUUAUACUUUCAAUAUCAUCGCAGUGUCGGGUCUGUUUUGUCGAGGUGGCAAGUUUUGGUUUUUCACAGCCGCGGGUAUGUUGGUAUUUCGGUUCUGUUUUGGUUUGUUGGGGCUGUGAUGGUUUGCUCAUAUUUUAGUUUUUUGUUGUUGUAUAGAUUGGUAGGUGAGACUGUGAAACUGUCCAUCUUUUGUAUUUUUUUUUGCUCAUUCCCAACAUUCCUUGUGCUGCUACGAUGAGUAGUUUAUGUAUUCUUUUUGCUGUUUCAAAUUAGAUAAAAAUGAUAUAUGUGUAACUGAUAUGUAGAUAGUGUUUUGGGUGGUUUA